rnacentral:rRNA from 1 species
AUUGAACGCUGGCGGCAUGCUUUACACAUGCAAGUCGAACGGUAACAGGCCGCAAGGUGCUGACGAGUGGCGAACGGGUGAGUAAUGCAUCGGAACGUGCCCAGUCGUGGGGGAUAACUACUCGAAAGAGUAGCUAAUACCGCAUACGAUCUAUGGAUGAAAGCGGGGGACCGUAAGGCCUCGCGCGAUUGGAGCGGCCGAUGUCAGAUUAGGUAGUUGGUGGGGUAAAGGCUCACCAAGCCAACGAUCUGUAGCUGGUCUGAGAGGACGACCAGCCACACUGGGACUGAGACACGGCCCAGACUCCUACGGGAGGCAGCAGUGGGGAAUUUUGGACAAUGGGCGCAAGCCUGAUCCAGCAAUGUCGCGUGCAGGAAGAAGGCCUUCGGGUUGUAAACUGCUUUUGUACGGAACGAAACGGCUCUGGUUAAUACCCGGGGCUAAUGACGGUACCGUAAGAAUAAGCACCGGCUAACUACGUG